UACGAAGGGGGCUAGCGUCGUUCGGAAUUACUGGGCGUAAAGCGCACGUAGGCGGACAUUUAAGUCAGGGGUGAAAUCCCAGAGCUCAACUCUGGAACUGCCUUUGAUACUGGGUGUCUAGAGUAUGGAAGAGGUGAGUGGAAUUCCGAGUGUAGAGGUGAAAUUCGUAGAUAUUCGGAGGAACACCAGUGGCGAAGGCGGCUCACUGGUCCAUUACUGACGCUGAGGUGCGAAAGCUAGGGGAGCGAACGGG
rnacentral:rRNA from 1 species